rnacentral:rRNA from 1 species
UACGGAGGGUGCAAGCGUUAUCCGGAUUCACUGGGUUUAAAGGGUGCGUAGGUGGGAAUGUAAGUCAGUGGUGAAAUCUCCGUGCUUAACACGGAAACUGCCAUUGAUACUAUGUUUCUUGAAUUUUCUGGAGGUUAGCGGAAUAUGUCGUGUAGCGGUGAAAUGCUUAGAUAUGACAUAGAACACCGAUUGCGAAGGCAGCUAACUACAGGGAUAUUGACACUGAGGCACGAAAGCGUGGGGAUCAAACAGG